GGGGUUUUUUACACAUCACUCCUGCACAACAAGGCAAUCGAUCCGAAUAUGUUCGAGAAGAGCAUGUUUGAAUGUCGCGUCGAUGCGCUGAUGAUGGAUGGUCGUACUACAUGACGUCUUACUACAAUGAGGUGGGUGCCAAGAUUCAAAUCAUGUCUUUCGACCAAGUUGUGGAUUAUAUCAAGCGCUCCCUUUGUCAAAUGCGUCGUGGAUUUUGAUGAUCUGCCGCCGGAUUUCUUCGCCAAUAUGAUUUUACCGGAAACCAGUUCUCGACACAAACUGUGGGUUAUACGUAAUAUUUUGGUCGAUAGGUAUGGAUUCUGCGCCGUCGUGUAUCGAAUUCAUAGCGAUAUCUGCUUCGGCAUUGCGAUCGAAGCUGCAAAGAAUGGACAAAUUGACAAGGUUGAAAGACUGUCGGACACCUAACCUUAAAAAAAAGGCAGUGUCCGAUCAUCUUUCCACCUUGUCAAUUUGUCCCUUCUUUUCAGCUUUGAUCGCAAUGCCGAAGCAGAUAUCGCUAUGAAUUCGAUACACGACGGUGCAGAAUCCAUGCCUAUCGACCAAAAUAUUACGUAUAACCCAUGGUUUGUGACGAGAACUGGUUUCUGAUGAAAUCAUCUUGACUGCUUCGGCAUUGCGAUCGAAGCUGAAAAAAAUGGACAAAUUGACAAGGUAGAAAGAUGGUCGGACACUGCCUUUGUUUCCGCAAGAAUAGCAUUAAUUCUCUUCAAAGAAUCCUUCGACUGCAUCCUCACCUAUUUUACGAGAAAUUUGCAGCAUGGGUUGUAUUUUGGCCGUCGUGAUAUCAAAAAUAUGAAAAGAAAACUGGGGUAAUUCCAUGAGACAAAAUUACCGGAACCUUACUACCAACACUUGACGCAUGAUGAUAAUCUUAUGGAUUUUUCCCGGCAAACUGAAUAUUUGAGGAAUUGCGCCAAUCUGUUGUUAGCUUUCAUAGAAUUGGUGGAAGAAGCGGACGUAGAUCAGGUCAGAUUUAUUUUAAUCUCUAGAUUUUAUCAUCGAUCAAUUAUUACUCGAUCACCCACCAAUCAUGUCAUCAAUUUCUAGGGAUUAAUUUCAAGCUGCUGCGAAAUACGAAAGUUACUACCAGAAAUUGGAAGGCUGCGAUUUGGGAUUGACAAACCUUACAACGAAAGAAUUGGAGUAUUUCAAUAUUAAUAUCAAAUUUUUGCUGGAGAAGAAACUACACAAUAUGAGAAUUUUUGAUAAAAAAGAGGUAAGUCAAUUCGAUCAUCUCUUGUUCGAUCUUUUGGAUUUGAUUU
rnacentral:lncRNA from 1 species